GGCCAUCCCUUCGGUUCCUCAAGCAUCAUGCCGGCCAAACCAGCCCCCAUCAAGAAAGCCCCCUUGAAGAAGGCAGCCCCCAAGGCCGAGGCGAAGCCCAGCGAGCCCGCCCCGGCCCCCGAGCCGCCUGCCCCCGCUCCCCCCGCCGAGGCGCCCCCGGCUGAGCCGGCUCCCGCACCGGUGGAGGCAGCGCCGGCAGCCGAGGAAGCGGCACCGGCCGCGCCUGCAGAAGCUGCAGCUGCUGAUGACGCGUCUGCCGCCGCUCCUGCCGCUUCCGAGGCGCCUGCAGAGGCUCCUGUAGCACCUCCACCAGAACAACCCAAAGCACCGACCCCUCCUCCUCCGGCAGUUCCCACAAGCGAACCGCUGAACUUGAACGUGGAUGACGUCAAUGACACGUCCGUCACCAUCAAAUGGAAGACACCAGAGAAUCUCGGGGACUCUGGCCUGGACGGGUACACUGUGGAAUACUGUAAAGACCAGACUUCCGACUGGGUGGUGGCCAACCCUGAGCUGGUAGUCACAAACCGCUACGUCAUCAAGGAUCUGACCGCCGGGGAUCUGCUGCACAUCCGCGUGAAGGCGGUCAACGCGGGAGGCCCCAGCGCCCCUGGUACCCUGGCUGAGCCCAUCCGGGUGCGUGAGGUGGUCGAUCGCCCAAAGAUCCGACUGCCCCGCUUCUUGAGAUCCAGGUUUGUCAAGAAAGUUGGCGAGCAGGUCAACCUCGUCAUCCCCUUCCACGGUAAACCCAAACCCACUGUGACCUGGACCAAGGAAGGGCAACCUGUGGAUCCAAAGAAGGUCAGCGUGCGCAACACCGACAGGGAUAGCAUCUUGUUCAUCCGCAAGGCCGAGAGGGAUGACUCCGGCAAGUACGAAAUGUGCGUUAAGGUCGAGAGUUUUGAGGACAAGGUCAUGAUCGUCAUCCAGAUUGUCGAGCUCCCUGGACCUCCUACCGGUAUCAAACUUGUGGACACCUGGGGCUUCAAUGCUGCCUUGGAAUGGACUGCACCCAAGGACAAGGGGAAUACAGAAAUCACCGGGUAUACCGUGCAAAAGGCUGACAAAAAGACCGGGGAGUGGUUCAGCGUUCUGGAGCACUACCACAGACUGAACGCGACCGUCUCUGACCUCGUCAUGGGAAACUCGUACUCCUUCCGGGUCUUCUCAGAGAACAAGGUCGGCAGGAGCGAGCAGGCCGCCGUGACGAAGGCGUUCGCCACCAUCCAGAAAACAGGUAUCGUCUACAAGCCUCCAGAGUACCAGGAGCACAACUUCACCGAAGCCCCCAAGUUCACCACAGCCCUGAGCAACAGAGCAGCCACCGUGGGCUAUACCACUAAGCUGCUGUGCUCCGUGCGGGGAUACCCUAAGCCCAAAAUCGAGUGGAUGAAGAACCAGAUGAUCAUCGGCGACGACCCCAAGUUCCGGCAAAUCAACAACCAGGGAGUGUGCUCCCUGGAGAUCCGCAAGCCCUGCAGCUUCGACGGUGGAGUCUACACCUGCCGGGCCAAGAACGUCCAUGGGGAAGCUUCAGUGGCCUGCAAGCUGGAGGUCAAGCAGGUUAUGCUUCCAGAUGCAGAGAAGAAAUAGAGACACAUCCUGAUGUAGGCAGUUUCAAAUUAGGACCAGCAGGAGCAGAGCUGUUGAAAAGGAGCAGUUGUGAAGGUGGAUGAAGAUGGAAUGAAACACUGUGAUAAUCUUGAAGGAGAGAGGGGGGGUGCUUGAGGAGUGUCAUGUUCAAUGGGGUCUCAGAAGGUUCAAAUGACACCUCAUCGCAGAUCGCAUUUGGGUGAAAAAUACAUCAGUUUUGUACAAUAAAUGUUAGAAUGUAACAAUAUACCGAAUUGCACAAAAUUCUUCCUGACUGUGUCCUGUACCGAAAAACUCUGAACAAGUCUGUAACCAAAUAAAAGAGCAAAUCAACAUAUACUGCAUAAUAAUAACUGUAUGGAAGCUCCUCGAUAUUUAUUCAUUAAAAUGUAUAUUUUGAUUCUCUGA